AAACCAACAGGGAUUGCCCCAGUAACGGCGAGUGAAGCGGCAAAAGCUCAAUUUUGAAAUCCCCCCACCGGGGGAGUUGUAAUUUGAAGACCCGGGGAUUUGGCCCAAGCCUGCGCAAGUCCAUUGGAACAUGGCGCCCAAGAGGGUGAGAGCCCCGUCGCGCAGGCCGCACGCCUUGACAUCCCCCCGUCAAAGAGUCGAGUUGUUUGGGAAUGCAGCUCAAAGUGGGUGGUAAAUUCCAUCUAAAGCUAAAUAUUGGCGAGAGACCGAUAGCGAACAAGUACAGUGAUGGAAAGAUGAAAAGCACUUUGAAAAGAGAGUGAAACAGUACGUGAAAUUGUUGAAAGGGAAGGGCUUGCAAGCAGACACGAGUUCGCUCGGGCCAGCAUCAAUUUCGCGAGGUGGACAACACGCCAGGAACGUGGCAGGCUCCGGCCUGUGUUAUAGCCUGCGCGCCAUACACCUCCGCGAGAUUGAGGCCUGCUCCACAAAGAUGCGGUUUGGGGGUUUUUUU
rnacentral:rRNA from 2 species